rnacentral:rRNA from 1 species
UAGGGAAUCUUCCACAAUGGACGCAAGUCUGAUGGAGCAACGCCGCGUGAGUGAAGAAGGGUUUCGGCUCGUAAAGCUCUGUUGGUAGUGAAGAAAGAUAGAGGUAGUAACUGGCCUUUAUUUGACGGUAAUUACUUAGAAAGUCACGGCUAACUACGUGCCAGCAGCCGCGGUAAUACGUAGGUGGCAAGCGUUGUCCGGAUUUAUUGGGCGUAAAGCGAGUGCAGGCGGUUCAAUAAGUCUGAUGUGAAAGCCUUCGGCUCAACCGGAGAAUUGCAUCAGAAACUGUUGAACUUGAGUGCAGAAGAGGAGAGUGGAACUCCAUGUGUAGUGGUGGAAUGCGUAGAUAUAUGGAAGAACACCAGUGGCGAAGGCGGCUCUCUGGUCUGCAACUGACGCUGAGGCUCGAAAGCAUGGGUAGCGAACAGGAUUAGAUACCCUGGUAGUCCAUGCCGUANNACGAUGAGUGCUAAGUGUUGGGAGGUUUCCGCCUCUCAGUGCUGCAGCUAACGCAUUAAGCACUCCGCCUGGGGAGUACGACCGCAAGGUUG